rnacentral:tmRNA from 1 species
GGGGUCGACUGGUUUUGACAGCGGGUGGAAUUGGAAAGUAAGCACGCCGAGAACUGGGACAAUUCUCGUUAAUAAAAGGUUUCAAAAUUUUACACGGCGAAAAUAAUUACGCUUUAGCUGCUUAAUCUGAAUCAUAGUAAGAUUUGCCUCGUUCCUACCAGGUAGGAAAGCUGGAUUCUCCUCGAAAGCCUUGGUUUAUGGCGUUCGGCUUAGGGGAACCGUAAAAGUAAACCUAGGAAGGGUAACGCUUUAAAUCCCUUCUGACAUUUAAAAAGCUAAGCAAAAAGUGGCGGUUUCCGGCCUUGCUUUUUGUCGAAAACCCAAUCGGAAACUAAGCGUGUAGAAAGCUCUUCGAUUGCUCGUUUGGACGAGAGUUCGAUUCUCUCCGACUCCACAU